rnacentral:rRNA from 1 species
GAUGAACGCUGGCGGCGUGCCUAAUACAUGCAAGUCGAGCGAACGGACGAGAAGCUUGCUUCUCUGAUGUUAGCGGCGGACGGGUGAGUAACACGUGGAUAACCUACCUAUAAGACUGGGAUAACUUCGGGAAACCGGAGCUAAUACCGGAUAAUAUUUUGAACCGCAUGGUUCAAAAGUGAAAGACGGUCUUGCUGUCACUUAUAGAUGGAUCCGCGCUGCAUUAGCUAGUUGGUAAGGUAACGGCUUACCAAGGCAACGAUGCAUAGCCGACCUGAGAGGGUGAUCGGCCACACUGGAACUGAGACACGGUCCAGACUCCUACGGGAGGCAGCAGUAGGGAAUCUUCGGCAAUGGGCGAAAGCCUGACGGAGCAACGCCGCGUGAGUGAUGAAGGUCUUCGGAUCGUAAAACUCUGUUAUUGGGGAAGAACAUAUGUGGAAGUAACUGUGCACAUCUUGACGGUACCUAAACAGAAAGCCACGGCUAACUACGUG